rnacentral:lncRNA from 1 species
AAAAGAGAUUCGGUAACCGACUGUCCCUGGAGCAAGUGGCAAAGGGCUUGGUGUUUGGUAUCCGAGACCCAAGAUCGAAUUCUAGUUGAUUCACAUUUUCAACUAAGUUUAUUUCUAAAUGAAAUAACGAAGUGGGUUGCGUGCUACUUAUCUCUCUCAAAAAAAAAAAAAGAUUCGGCAGAUAUUAGCUUGAUAUUUUGGUCGUCUAAUAUAAAAUGUUAAGAUUUUGAACAGAGAUGAAAAUUUUGUACUUUUCG